UACGAAGGGUGCAAGCGUUACUCGGAAUUACUGGGCGUAAAGCGUGCGUAGGUGGUUUGUUAAGUCUGUUGUGAAAGCCCCGGGCUCAACCUGGGAAUGGCAAUGGAUACUGGCAAGCUAGAGUGCGGUAGAGGGUAGUGGAAUUCCCGGUGUAGCGGUGAAAUGCGUAGAGAUGUGGAGGAACACCGAUGGCGAAGGCAGCCCCCUGGGUUAACACUGACGCUCAGGCACGAAAGCGUGGGGAGCAAACAGG
rnacentral:rRNA from 1 species